UACAGAGGGUGCGAGCGUUAAUCGAAGUUACUGGGCGUAAAGGGCGCGUAGGCGGUUGUGUGAGUGUGAUGUGAAAGCCCUGGGCUUAACCUAGGAAGUGCAUCGCAAACGACACGACUGGAGUAUAAGAGAGGGUGGCGGAAUUUCCGGUGUAGCGGUGAAAUGCGUAGAGAUCGGAAGGAACGUCAAUGGCGAAGGCAGCCACCUGGCUUAAUACUGACGCUGAGGCGCGAAAGCGUGGGGAUCGAACAGG
rnacentral:rRNA from 1 species